AUCGUUUGUCAGGAAUAUAUUCUUCAUCACUCGAUGAUCUUGCUCCUUUCAACAGUAUAAACUGAGGUGCCUGAAGCUCAGAGUGAUGUCUGUACCAGUGAAGGAUCGAUUGUGUCUCCAGCUAUCAGUCCUGAAAGAAGAGGAGGAAAUGAAGCCAUUAGACUAACAUUGUUCAUGAGGCUGAGAGGAGAAGACAGUGGAAAAUAUCAUGUGUACAGAGUUACUGUGUGGACAGAAACAGAUUUCUGCUCUGAACUCCAGUUUGCGUCAGUCUUUAGAAGAGAAUAAAAACAUGUUGUUCUUUGUGUCUCACCAAAGAAAAGAGCAGCAAGAAUAAUCCACAGCCAAAGUUCCAUCUGUACAACAAGGUUUAAAGCAACAGGAGAAAGCAGCUGCUGUUCAACAUUCAGUGUGAGAAUUGUUCUCUUCACAGCAGCACUUAUUAUUGACACAAUGGUUGAACACAGUGCAGAAGUAGUGCACCGCCUACUUGAUAAUGUCGCCCUCUAGUGGAGGUAAAAAGUUGAGUCCAACAGUGUGGAAAAAAGGCUUCCAGCAGCUUGUCAGUGUGUCAGCUUGUGUUUUUGUACAGAGACUGUGGGUUUGCUGUCACUGUGGGCCUCACAGCACAGUAGUACAGAGCAGAGUCUGUCACUGCAGCAGAGGAGAUCUGAACAUUCAUGUGAGUGUUUUCCUCACUCACUGUAACAGACAGUCCAGACUUUGGACUCAUUAAUAUUCUUCCUGUUCCUGAGUGAGAGGUGAGGAACUCUGGUGGCUUUCCUGGAUCUUGUCGAUACCA